GGUGAACGCUGGCGGCGUGCCUAAUACAUGCAAGUCGAGCGAACGGACGAGAAGCUUGCUUCUCUGAUGUUAGCGGCGGACGGGUGUGUAACACGUGGAUAACCUACCUAUAAGACUGGGAUAACUUCGGGAAACCGGAGCUAAUACCGGCUAAUAUUUUGAACCGCAUGGUUCACAAGUGAAAGACGGUCUUGCUGUCACUUAUAGAUUGAUCCGCGCUGCAUUAGCUAGUUGUUAAGGUAACGGCUUACCAAGGCAACGAUGCAUAGCCGACAUGAGAGGGGGAUCGGCCACACUGGAACUGAGACACGGUCCAGACUCCGACGGGAGGCAGCAGUAGGGAAUCUUCCGCAAUGGGCGAAAGCCUGACGGAGCAACGCCGCGUGAGUGAAGAAGGUCUUCGGAUCGUAAAACUCUGUUAUUAGGGAAGAAAAUAUGUGUAAGUAACUGUGCAGAGCUUGACGGUACCGAAUGAGAAAGCAACGGCUAACUACGUG
rnacentral:rRNA from 1 species